CGACCCGUCUGUCUCCUUUUUUUUUUCUUUUUUCUUUUUUAACUGUAACCUGGUUUAUUGGGCUCUCGGCGUAUUCUUGCGUUCCUUAUGCACUGGGACAAGACACCACUGCACUAUUGGACUACGGCAAGCUGGUGCCGUCCGGUGGAGCUUCAUACAGGAACUACUGCCUUACCUGCUGGUGUCACAACGUUGGAUGAACGCACAAAAAGCGCGGAACGAGCUUUUAUAUAGAGCAAAAUAAAUAUUUCCUCAUUGCACAAAA